GAAUGUGGCUUCAGGCUUGGCCGUUUCCUCUAUGUUUAGUUAGUAAUUAUCAAACACUUUUGUGUGGGUGCGGAUCGGGCGACCGGACUGCCUAGAAUCUCUGCUGCUUGCGCCCCAUAAAGGAAGCGGAUGAGCAUCACGUGACCACAGGCGGCAAGCUCCGUUAGGAAAAGAUGUGAAGGUCAGCUAUCCUGUCAGUCACCAUGUAGCUGAAGGUGACCUUGAACUUCUAAUCCUCCUGGCUCCGCUCCCCAUUUCUGUGAUUACAGGCUUGGGCCACUACAUCCCAUUUAAUGCUGGGAUUAUGGGCGUGCACCUCCUGGCUUUUCUCUUCAUUCUUCAAGGAAUGCCCAUACUGGUCUGCAGAGAGGCUGGUCAAGUUACAUCCAUCACUAUAGUGGUCUUGCUUUGUAUCCCUGGAUGGUUGGAACCCAUUCUAUAGCCCAGGUUCUGGAUAUCAAUCUUUUGCUCAGUAGAUCGGGGGUAACAUUUUUUUCUCCCACUUUGAAACUUGUCUCUUCACUCUAGUAACGGUUUUCAUGGCUAUGCAUAAACAUUUUAAUUUCAUGUGGAUCAUGCUCAGGACAAAACAAAUGUUCAGGAUGGACUGGACCAGUCGCUACUCCUUAUGGAGCCUGUCGCUCACACCAUAAAGGAGGAAAUCAGGAGGGCUAUUUUGGGCAGUUCUAAGAUGCUCCAAGGACUGAGCAGGUCUCUCCUCCGAGACAGGACAUGGGAGAAAAUAGCUUCUUUGGGGGAUGUGAGAGAGAAAGUCUCCAGAUUUGGAGAUCACUGGAGAACAUUCAAACCAUCUUAGCAGCUGGCUCUGUGGUCCAGUGUUGCCUGGCGCUUAAGAGGCGCUUGGGUUUCAUCCCCGGCACUAGAGAAGCCGGUGUCAGAGAAGAGGAUGGCUCUGUGUAAACAGAGAAGGCAUUUCUACAAGCUAAACAAACCACGAGUCCUCACACCCUCGUAACUAUCUCAUGGUGAUCCAGGAUCCAGAGACUGUCAGAAGCAUCGUGUCGCUGAUGGAGACACAACCCAGAACACCCACAGGCCAUUCUCAUCCAAUUUACCCCAGAAAUGCAACUCUCUCUGACCGUGGGACAAGGUUAAAGGGUUUUGUUUUGUUUUUCUUUUUUUUUCUUUCAGUAGUUAACCACCAGAUUUGAACAAAAAAAAACCAUUUAGUGUUUUGUUUUUUUUUUUUUAAAAGGAAAGUAAAAAAGAAAACAAUUUCCAAGAAUAAUCUUGCAUUUAAAUUAUUGUCCCAGGAUGUAUGAUUUAUUUGUACUGAUUUUUUUCCCCCCACAGCACAUGAUAGUGAGGUUUCUUUGCUUGGGUACACCGAUGGACUUUGGGCUGUCCAUAUUUGUCUACAAGGGUCUGUUGUGGGAAUUGGAGAGAAGCGGUGGUUAAGAGAACUUGUGUCCCUGCAACCACAUAGUACCUGACAGCUGGCCAUAACUCCAGUUCUGAGGAAUCCAGUACCCUCUCAUGACUUUGGAGAGCACCAGGCAUGCAUGUGAUGCUCAGGCAUACAUGUGAGGAAAACAUUCAUAGACAUAAACUAAAUAAAUCUUUUUUGAAAAGGUUUUAUUA
ensembl:lincRNA